rnacentral:rRNA from 1 species
UACGUAGGGUGCGAGCGUUGUCCGGAAUUAUUGGGCGUAAAGGGCUCGUAGGCGGUCUGUCACGUCGGGCGUGAAAACUCAGGGCUUAACCCUGAGCCUGCUUCCGAUACGGGCAGACUAGAGGUAUGCAGGGGAGAACGGAAUUCCUGGUGUAGCGGUGAAAUGCGCAGAUAUCGGGAAGAACACCCGUGGCGAAGGCGGCUCUCUGGGACGGUACUGACGCUGAGACGCGAAAGCGUGGGGAGCGAACAGG